rnacentral:rRNA from 1 species
GAUGAACGCUGGCGGCGUGCCUAAUACAUGCAAGUCGAGCGAACAGACGAGGAGCUUGCUCCUCUGACGUUAGCGGCGGACGGGUGAGUAACACGUGGAUAACCUACCUAUAAGACUGGGAUAACUUCGGGAAACCGGAGCUAAUACCGGAUAAUAUAUUGAACCGCAUGGUUCAAUAGUGAAAUACGGUUUUGCUGUCACUUAUAGCUGGAUCCGCGCCGCAUUAGCUAGUUGGUAAGGUAACGGCUUACCAAGGCAACGAUGCGUAGCCGACCUGAGAGGGUGAUCGGCCACACUGGAACUGAGACACGGUCCAGACUCCUACGGGAGGCAGCAGUAGGGAAUCUUCCGCAAUGGGCGAAAGCCUGACGGAGCAACGCCGCGUGAGUGAUGAAGGUCUUCGGAUCGUAAAACUCUGUUAUUAGGGAAGAACAAAUGUGUAAGUAACUAUGCACGUCUUGACGGUACCUAAUCAGAAAGCCACGGCUAACUACGUG